AAAUUGAAGAGUUUGAUCAUGGCUCAGAUUGAACGCUGGCGGCAGGCCUAACACAUGCAAGUCGAACGGUAACAGGAAGCAGCUUGCUGCUUCGCUGACGAGUGGCGGACGGGUGAGUAAUGUCUGGGAAACUGCCUGAUGGAGGGGGAUAACUACUGGAAACGGUGGCUAAUACCGCAUAACGUCGCAAGACCAAAGAGGGGGACCUUU
rnacentral:rRNA from 10 species